AAUGGCGAAAAGGAGGCCUCUCUCUGCCGUUCUUCCCCAGCACCCCCCGGGACAAUCUUCUCGAUGCUGUCCAAUUCCCGACCCCGGCAGAUCCUCUUCCUGGAACACUGGCUUCGAGCGGCGGCCGCUACUGACGCCUCUCAAACUCCUUCUCCUGCUGCUGCUGCUCCUCCUUCGGCGGCUGUGAUCCUCCGGUCGUGGGCCGACCUCCGUGACCCCUCCGCCGACCCUCCUCGCCUACUCUCCGCUCUCCUUACACUCUCCCGCGGCCGCUCCGCCCUCCACGUCUCCGACCCCCAGGCCAAACUCCUCCUCUCCCUGCUCCCUUCCUCCUCUCCUGACGCCUUCCCCCUCGUCCUUUCCCUCCUCUACACCUAUCUCCGCAAGUCCUCCCGCCCUUCCCCUCCCCUCCUUCUCUCCAUCCUCUCCGUCUCCUCCUCUUUUCCCCCGUCGACUCACUCCAUCCUCCUCCUCGGUGCCCUCUCCGCCUCCCCCGCUCUCCCCGCCUCCGCCCUCUCGCCCUGCCUCGACCACCUCUGCUCUUUCUUGGAUUCCUCCCUGCCCGCGAUUUUCCGUGACGCCGACCUUCUCCCAGAAUUUCUCGCCGGCAUCGGCUACGCCCUCUCCCGAUUGGAGGACGAUGCGCGUCUUGGAAAAAUCCUUAACUUCUUGUUUCGGAUUUGGUCCGCCGAAGCCGGCGGGCUUCGACCCUCGCUCUCCCAUGGCCUUAUGGUUCUGCGCUUGUUCGAGUGGUGCACGUCGGGGUUCCUGGCUUCAAGGUCUUGGAGCAGAAUUGAGUCGCUCUGCGGAGAGAUCUCAGCGAACAGGAGCAAAUCCAGGGGGAAUUUCGCUCCCCUUUUGGUGUUGAUGGCUCCUGCCGGAGUUCUGAGGGCUUUCAGAAGCAAUAGGGUUGAAAUUGACCCUCGGCUGAGGAAGUCUAUCGAAGAGUCGAUAAGUUAUGUCGCAGAGUGCACCAUUUCUAGAAUUGGGACUGAUUCUGGUUCUAAUGUAUCGGAUGACAGCCAUGUUCUGCUGCAGUGCAUUGCAAUUGGUUUGGCUCAGUGCGGCUCGAUUUCAUUCAAUGCGUCUGUGCUUCGGUGCCUUUGUCUCUCAUUGUUGAACGAAGUCUUUCCCCUGCAGUAUUUCUUUAGGAUGUCCUUAGAAAAUGUGAAUGAAAAUUCGGCCACCUGCAAGGCAAAGGAGCAUUUAGGUAGUGCCCUUUUUAAAGAAGCAGGUGCAGUGACUGGAGUCUUCUGCAAUCAGUAUGCAUCUGCAGACGAGGUCAGCAAGGCAAUGGUUGAAAACCAUUUGUGGGAUUAUUCUCAACAGGUUUACUCGAAUCUACGUUUAGCAGCAUGGGUUCAUCGAGGGAAGAGUGAUGAGUUGCUCGGGGAUUUGGAAAAGAUUGCCGAAGCUGCAUUCUUGAUGGUAGUUGUUUUUGCUGCAGAGGUUAGCAAACAUAAGUUGAAUAGCAAAUCUUCUCAUGAGUUCAGACCGGAGGUCUCUUCUAGGAUCCUUGUUGCAUUCUCUUGCAUGGAGUAUCUUCGUCGUGUUCGCCUGCCCGAGUAUACCGAGGCAGUUCGCCGUGCUGUUUUAACCCUCCAGGAGAAUGCAGAUUCAUGUGUUUCAUUUGUCGAGUCAAUGCCUCCUUACACCGAGCUAACAAAAGCACAGGGCUCAAUUAUAUUGGAGAGGAUGAGAUAUAUUUGGUCACAAGAUGAAGUGCAGACUUCUCGUAUAUUAUUUUACCUGCGGGUUUUGCCAACUUGCAUAAGUUUUGUCCCUACCUCCUUGUUUGGGAAACGAGUAGCACCGACCAUGUUCUUAUAUAUGCAACACCCUAAUGAAAAAGUAACCCGAGCUUCACACUCCAUAUUUGUUUCUUUUGUAUCCUCUGGCAAGGAUUCCGAUCAGGAUGAUAGAGUUGUUUUAAAGGAGCAACUUGUUUUCUAUUACAUGCAGCAAGCUUUGCAGGUUUAUCCCAGGAUUACACCAUUUGAAGGUUUGGCUUCUGGUGUUGCUGCUUUGGUCAGGCAUCUUCCUGCUGGAAGUCCAGCAAUAUUUUAUUGUAUUAAUAGCCUUGUGGCAAAAGCUUCUGACCUUUGUGGGAAAGCCAUGAGUGAAGAUCCAACCAUGUGGAAAAGUUGGGAAGGAAGUUCAGGACCUCCUAAAAAGGUCCUGGAUCUUCUACUUCGCCUCAUUUAUCUUGUAGAUAUACAGGUGUUGCCAUACUUGUUGAAGCAAUUGGCAGAAUUCAUAAUCCAGCUGCCUAAAGAUGGUCAGAAUGCACUACUUGACGAGAUGUAUUUUCAAGUUGCCGAGUCAGAUGAUGUCACUAGAAAACCAGUUCUGGUGUCAUGGCUGCAGUCACUCUCCUUCAUAUGCUCGCAAAAGAAGGCUUCCUCCACAACUGAAGCUGCCGAGAAGCAUGGGAGCUCUGUGCCAAGUAACGAUGGCUUAAGUUGGUAUAGAACUAGCGCUCGGCUCUGAAGUGGGAGUCAUUUUCAAAAGUCAGAUCCUUCAGAAAUGGCCGUUCAAAGCAGAGACCUGCUUGCUUGUUCAGAUGGAACCUGAAGAAACGGAGGGUGGCGGCGGCCAUAAUCUUCAUCUGCCUGUACGCGAAGUCUUUCCCCAGGCAACUCCGAGGGCCCGCCUAUCACAAAGAAAGAGUUCGAGUUCAGAGAUUCAUCGGAAGAAUGGUUGGCUGAUGUUACUGCUGCUGCUUACAUGGAAGGCGACAAACUUGAAUGGACUCUGCGGCUUGAAACUUCCAUUCUCGAUCCAUCUCUCAGGCCUGAAGUCUUCAGCAUCUUCACCCCAAAUGUACGUCAUCCUCCCCAUGGCGUAGGUCAGGUAAGUGAUUCCGUCUCCCUUCUUCACCUCAAAGCCAUCAGGUAGCACAUCAUCUUCGUCUGCACUCUUCCCAUCCUGUCACGAAGCACGCCGUCAGAUAUGAUCUCCCGGAAGCUGAUGCGGGAGAGGUAAUGAUCGUACCACAGGAACAGCUGGAUAGAGCCUUAAGGUCUCGGUGAGCGCGGCAUGGAGAUACUGCAUCUUGUCGAUGGCUUCGUCGGUUAAGCUCAUGGCGAACUCUGCCAUGUCCGACUUGUUUCCUUCCGCCUUGGUCGCGUCUUCCACCUCGGCUGCGACCUUCUCUUGUAUCGAUGGGUGCUUGCACAGCAGGUAGAAGAACCAGGUGAGGGUGUUCGCGGUGGUGUCCUUCCCGGCCAUCAUGAAGUUGAGAAUCACGUCCCUCAGUGCUUCGAACAAGAUCAAGGUCACAAGCAAAGGAAAGAUUUUGCAGGUGUUCUUGAUCAUUUACCCUGUCUUCUUCGCCGUUGUUCAUCUGGUCUCUCUUGCGGCGGAUGAGUUGGAACACGAAGUCAUCGAUCACCUUGAUGUUCCUCUUCAGCCGAGCCUCGAUGCCGACGUCGAGACGCCUUUUGACCUUCCACAAGACGUCGACGUACCUCCAGAACACGAUGGAGUUGGCGUCGUCGAAGGCCUCGCUGAAGCGAGCCCCCAACUCAUCCGAUCCCGAGAGGGUGUCGAGCUCAACGCCGAACCCCACCUUGAAGAUCGAGUCCAGCGUCGCCUUCAUCAGAAGAUCUUGCAUGUCGAAGACACUCGCGGUGGCGGCGGCGUCGGAGAUCUUCUGCGCCAGCUUUGCGGCGAUCGACCUGAACACGACGCUGCUGAAGUCCCGAAGGACUCUGGCGGAGAACUCGAAGCUGGCGAGCUUCCGCUGGUGGCGCCACUUCUCGCCGUCCACCGCGAAGAUCCCAUCGCCGAACAGAUCCCUCAUGACGGUAUAGUUGCCCUGCCCCUGGUGGCACGAUACACACACACACGCAUCAGAUCAUGAAGACCAAGAGCAGGGAGCAAGACGAGGAAGACGACCGGACCUUGCUGUACUUGGAGAAGUUGGUCUUUAGAACAUGCUCGACGUUGGCCGGAUCGGCCGUGUAGAUAUCGCUGUGAGAGGGUGCGAUCAGCCGAAAGGUCUUGUGCCGGCGAGCGACGGCGGUCUGGAAGUCGAAGAGGGCGUUGAAGUGGAUCAGCAGGUGGAAGAUGGUGCCGGCGAUGGGAGGUCUGUUGGAACCUUGGAUCGACUCCUUGGCGUAGAAGACGAUGAACAGUAUGAUCCAUCCGACAACGCACAAGAGUAGCCCUGCCAAGGCUGCUUUCAGAAGAUAGAACGCAAGGUGGAGGAGCAGAGAAGCCAUCAAGAUGAAGGAUAUGCCGAGAAAGUUUGCUGCUGGAGCAAGUUAGAUAUCCAUCUAAGGUGCGUCGACCUUGUCGUGUUGGAUCGUUCGUCAUAGCCAAUCAAGAACAAUACACAGGACAUACAAGUCUAAAGAAUUACGAAAUUGGUUCGUUUGAUUAUCGAGUUGAGAUAACUCCUAGGCAAUAGAACACAAUUCUCUUGCAUAGUUAGAUAACUUCCAGGCUGGGGGUAAUAUCUCUUGUAUUUAGUUGCCUUGGUUCAUAUAUUUUAAAAAAUUAUAUUAUUAUCUUUAUAA